GGAGAACUCGCAUCCUGAUUGGCUGGUACCGGAGUCAUUCUGGCGGGAGCGCCAUAGGAAGCUGGAGGCGGAUUUCAGGAAGGGGGGGAGGAAGAAAACCGCCCGCCCCGCCCCGUCACGUGUGUGGAGGCCGCGCGCCUCGGCUGCCUCCCUUGUAGCUGGGAUUACAGGUGUGCCUCAUCACGCCCAGCCAAGACCAUACUCUCUCAAAGCAUGUCUCUUGGAGCCAAAAGAGAAAGAAUCGCGAUACUUGAGAUCCACUAUGUGGACUUUACAGGACCACCUUGUGGGACUCACUAAGUCUCUGAGUUGCCAGGCUAGGCUCGAACUUGCAAAUCCCCCUGUCUCAGUCUUUUGGAGUGCUGGGUUGAGCCUGGGGCCUCACACAUGAUAGACACAGUGACUGAGGACUCACUUUGGGACAAGCUCUGGGGCUAUGCCAGCGAAGAAGACCGACGUGGCCCUUGUCCAUUGGGAGUCCCAACAAUUUCGUUUAUAAAAAGGCAGAAGCUUACAGGAGUGGAUGCUGGCGUUCACGAGAGGGCGUCUACAAUCCUCAUGGCAGACGAGAAAGAGAAGAGCACAGUAUCUCAGCAGUACAGUGGAUCUGCAUGUACACGUGGGUUACCACACAGCAGUGAAAAAGAAUGGGCCAUCAGUGCCCACAACAACAGAUGGCCCUCAUAGAUGUGUUGGGUGUAAGAAAGUGGGCACGGCAGUACAUCCCACUACAUCCAAAACCCAUCAACACUUAGGGUAGCUAAUGUGGACGGGGUGGAAUAGUGGCUACGUCGGAACGGCAGACACGCCUGGACCACUGACGAGCCGGUUGGGGCCGUGACCUGGCUGACAGGACACCACAACCUGUAAGUACUCAUCCGGCCGUGCGUGUCCAGACCAGCCACUUGACUGCUUCUAAGGCAGACUUCAACCAAAACAGAAAAGAGUGAAAAGGAAGUUUACCCUCUCAAAGCUGCCUGCUUCCCCAUUGGGGUGUGGAGGAUGAGUGACCACCUGUGGGCCUUCGUCUGCCUUCUGCAUCUCUGAAAAAUUGAGUUCACCAGUGCCUUCUGUGCUGGGCUACCGCAGUCUUGAAGCUGGUGCAGCUCCUGAUCACCUCAUGAUUUUCCAGCCCCCGGACCUUUAAAAAAUUGAUUUUAAAACGUCUCUUGAUAGACUGCAGUGCAGUCUUAUGAAGGGCAACAGAUCUGACCCAGCCUGCUCUGGCUCCCUCUCCCCAACUGGUCAAUAAGCAGCCUGGGUCUCUGUGCCUCAUCCCCAAAAGAGUUAUAAAGUUCAAUAAGUGUCUGGAAAGCAAGCAAGACUCUGCCGUGCAAUCUGGAUCACCCGUACCAAUUUGCUUUGCUCACCCACCGUAGUGGCUGGGCCUUAUGCUUCCUAGGGGAAAAUGAGCAGUUUGAAUGCCUGCCCCUCCUUCUCUCUCUCCCUUCUCAUCCGCUCUUCUUUGUUCUCCAUCAGUGUGUUCCCUAAUGUGGGGGCGCCUGGAAUUGUGGCUCUUUGGGGAGAAAAUUUAGAGUCAAAAACGUGGGCCCUUACGUGUUAACCCCCAGACUGAAACCAUGGGAUGUAGCCUGCAGCAGUCACAACAGGCAGAUUACCAUGUGGCGCUGCUGAAUUGCAGUUAUUUCAUGGCAUUUUGUAUUUCUGCUCUCUAGGGUGGUGACUCACUGCUUUCCAGUUCAAUGUGAGGAUGUGUCCCACGGUGCUGACUGCGGAUGCUCCUGGAGGACAUUCCUAACGCACCACUCACCAAGUUAUUAGAAAUCCAACUCCAAACUCGUAAUCCCCAAAUAGCCUCUAUUCUCUCAACUGCUGGUUUCCUUGCUUUGAUUUUAUGCACAGUAGUUCUCAACUCAAGGCCAAAAGUUCUACCCCAUGCCGAGCCACUUUCAAAGGAGAACCAAUAUGCUAGGACUGGAGGGGGACUUGAAUAGCGGCUAAUUGUCAGUUUGUCUAGUGAAAAAAAGCAUGCGGUCCCCCCUGAGCAGGCUGGUUAUUUGUUAAAGUUUGCUGGGGUUUUGGAGCUCCUCUUGGUGAGGGGCGGCUCAGACUCAGCAGUUUUAAUUAUUAAUCGGGUCAAAGGCUGAUGACAGUUUUUCCUCUCUUCACGGGAGGGUCUUGAGAGUUCGCAGGAGGGGCUGUGAAGGCCCCUGUCCCGUGAGGGCUGGGAAGAAGGUAAGGCAGCAGAGGAUUCAGGCUAGACCAGUCCUAAAUUCUUCACGGUCCCUUGCCCUGCACAUACUGUUGAAAAGCUUCUUAAUCUGCCUGUGGGUUCAUUUCAAGUGAAUGUGGGUCUUUAACCUUCCAAGGGGUGGCGUUUUUCUGUGCUGAACACAUUCCAGACUCGACAGUGAAAGCGUGUCCUUCCAAACUGGAGCGCAGGAAAGGAAGUGGCCGCUUCACCCGUGUCUCUUCUGCAGCACCGGCUUACUUGGGAAGGGAGCACUUUCCAAAGGCCUGAGGUCUUUUCCAGGUUGAGUGUGGAAUGUCUCCAGAUAUGCCAACGCUGCGUUUAUCCUGCCUCCUCACUUCUUUCCUCAUCCCUGGGAGUCUCCCUUCUCCUUUUGGCCUGAGACCCGUUUGACAUAAUCCAGAAGGUCUUUUUUCCCAUCUGCGGAUUCUCCAGCCGUUCUAAACAACUCCAGCCAGCACUGCCCUCCACUCUUGUCGCUAGGCGGAUUCCCCUGUUGCUGGUCCACCACUGCUUCUUCCAGGCUCAGAAAGAGGCACAGAUUCCUGGUGACCCACUGAAUCAUCCACCUAUCCAUCUACAUGCCAAAAAAAACCACCACCCAUGUAGGUCUUAAACACCCGCUCCGUGUCCUGUGGACAGCAAUUCCAAGUGGGAAGGAGUGGAAUCCAGAGUGUCAGAUGCAGAGGUGCCAGUGGUUACGGGGUGGCAAGCAUGCUGCCUCCUGAGAGCUUUCUCUGGGGAGCAGCCAGGAACUUGAUCAUUUUCUCUGGCCCAAGGUCUGACCCUCAGCCUUAUGGGUUCAGAAAACGUGUCUUAUGUGCAACCAGAAACAGAUCCUUUGACUUACUGGCAAAAGUAUUAAUUAAGCUUCAAAGACUGAAUUUUUUGAUUUGUAAUGAGGAGUCUGUCACAUGGAUCUAAGAACAUCCUGCAGAUGGGGUGUGGUGGCACACACCUGAUGUCCAAGCACUAGGGAGAAUGAGGCAGGAGGAUUGCUGUGAGUUCAAGACCAGCAUGAACCACAGAAAGAGACUCUGUCUUGAAAAACAAAACACAACAAAAAUCCUGAAGGUUUAGCCUUCCCUCUGUGGAGACAGUUAUCUGGAGAUGAAGUCACUGAAGAAUAGUGGAGAAUUUGCACGGACACCAGUUUGCACAGGAGCGGAGUGUAUCUGUAUAUUCAUGUCUGUUCUAAUAUCGUUACCAUGUGCCCAACAAAAUGCUAGGUUUACAAAUGUAAUUUUGUUAAACCUUUACAUCAACCAUGAGAGGGAGCUAAGAAAUGCUUACCCUCAUUUCACAGGAAAAGCAGUUCAGGUCGGAUUCCUUAGUGGAGACGACCCAACUAAUAUGUGACAGAGGCAGGAUUUGAACCCAAGGUCCAUAGUUGGUCCAGUGGAGCCCAGUGGCCCUGCAAUGGUGAGAUGACGCAUUAGAUCAGAGCCAAGUUGGAUAAUGGACCCUGAGCUGCAGAUACUUGGCCGGACGGGAAUUUCCUCUAAAUUCCCAACGGGACGUGUGGGGAUGGAACUUUAGAAGUGGACGCUGGAGACAUGCUGAGCGCACGCCUCUCCUCUUCUGGAGGGGUUCUGUGAAGGGCUCCUGGGUUGUGCUGGUUGGCCUGCAGUGAAGGUCAAGAGCGUUGAGGAGGCCUGGGGGGCGCUGCCUGAGGGGCUUGCUAGCACUGAGACCUCUGGGUGGGACUCCUGGCUUGGCUUCACCGUGUUGCCAGGCAGUCACCAAGCCCAGGGCACAACGUCCACGCAGAUGAAGAAGCCCAGAUAGCGGUGCAAGAAGAGAGAGAAGUAGCCUUGGGCAGAGAUGGCCUGUGUGUGGAUGGAGCGUGGUCGCCGGGCCGUGUAGGAAGCAUGAUGGAGGGACACCUUCCUCAUUCAGCAGCCUGUGCAGGUCCCCAACCAGUUGUGAUGUGGGAGCUGGGUCCAGACAGAGGCCUGGGUAGCAGAUUCUGAAAGCCACUGAGAACUCAUCAGGCACGGCAGGGGUGAACUUCCCCUGGGCUUGGAACGUGUGUGUGUGUGUGUGUGUGUGUGUGUUCGUGUUCCUUCUGAUCCACGCCCUCAGGACUUGAGUGAGGAGCAUGGAGGUUUUUCAACAAGUUCUACCUUUCCUCCCUUCUCUCCCUUCUUAUUCUCUUAUUCUUGCAACAAAAUUUGGGGGGAUUGGAUGUGAGUCAUUCUAGAGAAGGAUCUGUGCUCUGUAAAUUGUCCAUUUCUGUGCUUUUGUAAUUUUGGGUUUUGCUUUACCCCCCGUCUCCUAGUAAAAUGCUUUGAACAAUCUCAGCCUUGUCUGGAUGCCAGAGGUUUGCCCACAUCUGGGCCAAGACAACCAAGGGGUUCCAGGGCCUCUGGAAAUCCAGCCUUGUAGGACCAGCAGCUGUCCCGGCUGGAUUUGCAGGAAACAGCUGCUGGGGCCCGGGUGGAGAGAGGUGAAAUCUUGAGAGGAAGAGGUUGAAAGAGAGACGGGACAGCUGCUGCUGCUGACUCCCCACCUGGGCUCUUCCAUCUCAGAGGCCUGCUGCGGCUCUCAGGCUCUGGCUCGCCCAUCUCUGGCUUUAAAAAGUCAACAAUAGACCGAUGCCUUGGGACUGUACCCGGGGCAGGGACAAAGUAGAAGUAGGGAGCAGACCUGAGCUCUCUUUUUGGAGGCUGUGUGGGGCUGAGAUCUAAUCAGGGUGCAAGGCGUUGAAUUGAAAUAGAACAUUGGAGGGAUUUGGGCCUCGUCUAUAAGUUGAGCAAACUGAGUCUCAGAUACCCUGUGGCCUGUGCCUGAUCAAAGCCCCUCCCAACUUACUGGGGCAUAUAAGGAUUUUUGGGGGAUUGCAUAAAACAAAUUACACAACGUCACUUGACUAAUUGCUAGCUGGCCCUUUGAAAGGAGUGGCUUAGGUUGAGGGGUGGCAGAGUUGCUCAGAAAGUUUGGGGGUUGCCUUGAUUCCUGGGCAGCAGUGGUUAAAUCUAAGUCUUGAUUCCCUUGGUAACUUGAUGGCUUAGUUUAGGCCUCAGGUUGCUGUUCCAUGAACUGCCUUGAAAUUUAAUCACCCAAAUUUAUUUCCUAGAGUGUUUUUCACCUUCUCCUCCUCUACCCGGUUAGUCACCAUCCUGUGACUUGACAGAGUGAUUAUUAAAGACCCCAUGGCUCCGUCACUAGAUUCAGGGGUGUUGGGAACUCUGGAGGCAGUUGUAACUUGGGUCACAGUUGGGUGGAUUUUCUCCCAACUGGCUGUGAAUCUUCCCGGAGGGUACCCUGGAGGUCUGGGACGGUAACAUGGCAGCGCCUUCUGUUCCUUCUCUAGGAGAGGGUGCUUACUGGGCUCUUCUAGGGCUGCUGUUCCUGGACUGGGGAUUGAGCUGUCCUUUGCCUGGGGCACGUCACAAACAGCUCCCAGCUUCAGUAACCCUUCUGGUGCCGUGGAGAUACUGCAGGUUUUAAAAGGAGAUGUGGAGUCCGGCACGCAAGCACACAACUGAUGUGAGCCGCUUCUCUGCCAGCUGACAGGGCCCAGGCCUUCUUUCUGGGGUCUUGGAAGGGAAAUUUUAUUAGUCUAAUUUGGACGCAUUCUAACAAGAUUUUAUUUCAAGAAGGGUUCCAUAAAUUAGAUAUUUAGCUAUCUCCCCUUCCAACCUAGACCUCCCAAGUAGGAGUUGCAGACCUACACAGAGAUUGGUGCCUGGCAGGGAAUAUAAACACAUAGCAAGCUGACAGAUUCUAGGUGUGGUGUUCUGGCUUUUUGUUUGGUGUUUAGGUUUUUUGGAGAUGAGGUCUUGCUAUGUAGCCCAGGCUGGCUGUGAACUCAAGGUGAUCCUCCAGCCUCAGUCUCCUGAGUGGUGGGAUUACAGGCAUGAGCCACCAUGCCUGGACUGGUGUUCUUAUUUUUGCAGCCUCCUUUCCCUCCCCUCAAGAAUGGAUAUUCCUGAGUCUGGGACAUAGCUCAGUGGUGCUGCUGCCUGCCUUGCAAGCGGAAGGUCUGCAGUUCAAUCCCCAGUACAACAAACAAACAAAAAAACCAAAGAGAGAGAGAGAGAGAAUGGGUAUUCCUACUGUGUGUUUGGUUGGCCAGUGGAGGUAGCUGCAUGUGCCUACUGCUUCCUGAAGACAUGUUGGACCAGUUAAAGGUUAUUCUGUAGAAAACACAACCAACAAGUCAAAAGAUGAGUUUCCUGCUCUUAAUAGAUAAUUUUUAUUGGUUUUGCAAUAAACGUAUGAAAUAGAAACAAUAGCAAUAAACUAGCUCAACAAGAAAUCGAAAGGCACAGGCCCCCAAAGCCCUUCCUGCCUCUUCUUAAUGAGCCUCUAAUUUAUAGGCUGACUAUCAGGCCCACUUUUCUUUUUCUGAGCUUUGCAAACUUUUCCAUCUUGGAGGCUGGGGGCUCCAGGGCUUGUGUGCUCGUUCCCAUGGAGUUGCUGAUAUGAAAGCAAAGACACAGCAGUGCUAGGAAGGAGGAGGUGGCCUUGAGUCCGGUGGUGCGGGCCUGGAUCCAGCCCUAUCUCCUCUGAUUCCAGGGACUUCCUCCUUCAGUUUAGUAUUUGCCACCAGGGGUGGGAAGGGAGAAGAGCCCAUGCUGAAACGGCCAAAGGCCAGAGUUCUGGAAAGCAGAGGCAGCACAAAAGGCAUCUGGAGGCUUGGGCAGGGGUUUUCACCUUUACAACCGCUAUCUUUUGGAACGAGGAGAAUAACUUUGGCCCACGGUGCCAUGUCUCUUCCCAGGACUCAGGAUGGCGCAACAGCACCCAGGGAAAGGCGGGGACCUCAGACCUCCUUGCUGCCCUUUAGGAAGACAAGCUGGAGGCGCUGGGUCUCUGCUGGCAGCUUACUUCUGGGUUGUUGCAGGGUCCCUUGAGUGAUAGCUCCAGUCGGAAGGGCUCAGCGCUCUUCUGAACAUUUCCCCUGAGGCCCGCAGCCUGAGAACAGGUCAUCUGUGUUCCUGAUCACUCCUCAAAGAAGGUGCCACAACGGGAGGGUGAACACAAGGCCAGAUGGCACCUCCACCCCCAGCCCCGGGACUGUGAGGCCCAGGGCCUGGAUGGGUGGCAGCUGAGGCAGGCGGCACGGAGGGCCUUCCCUGGGGACACCGAUGCUUGCUUCCCUCGGCCAGCUCGGCACGGCUCGGCACUCCAACAUGCCCUGCUGUGGCCCCUUCUGGCCACAUCCCAGGAGGUCGGAGCGUGGGGAAUUCACAGCUGUGCCUCUCUCUCUGCUGUUCUUUUCCCUCUCAGCCCACUUCCCUUCCUUGGUGGGCUUGGGGGAAGAGUGCUGACUCUGCAAGCCUCAGCCCCUGAAAGGCACCAUCUAUGGAGGACACAGGACUGUGAGCUGCAAACUGUCUCGACUUUGUUACCUCCUGGCAGGUCUUUAGAGUUUGGGGAAACCGCUGAGCGGUACAAAUCACGGUGGCUGGUAAAGUCCCCCUCGCUGCUGAUGGGCUGCCUGACUCAUAUCCAUUUCCCUGGCAAAAAAAUAAGUUUUUGUUAUUGCUGGCUUGGCAGAAGCACGGAAGAGCACGCAAGGAUCUACUGCCCUAUGCAUCACUGGCCAAAUUGCCUGCGAAAUCCCAGCUCUAGAACUUUUUUCAUCGUGGCCUGUGAUGUAUGGAGCAGAGUGGCAGCUCCAUUUCCCGGCAUGGGCUCAGUGAGGACGCUGGCACCUGGCAAGGCAGCUCUGUUUGCUGCUCCCAGUGAAGGUGGCCUCGCCCAGCCCUUCCCUCUGCUUGGCCCUUGUUACCCUCACUCCUUGUCUUUCCCAUCCCCCAUCUGCUCAUCAGCCCCUCCCUGCCUCCACCCAGCAGAGCCAUAGCUGGAGAAUCCGGAGGAGGCCCGCAGUGUCAUUUCCCUGUCACUCUGCAGACGACUCCACACUAAUGUUCUUUUAAUGCUGUGAUGCUGCACUAAUUAAUAAGCAUCCUGCACGGAGGCCUUUCCUCGCCUCUCCCCUCCUCCCUCGCCACCCUCCCCACCAGCCCUCCCGAGAAGGCCUCCUGACAUCCUGGCAUCUGCAGCAGAGAAGGGAUUUCACUCCUCUACCUGGGCUGCCCUAUAUUGCUAUGAGAGAUAACUGUAUACGAACCAAUAAUCUAGCCUGACAAUCCAAUUUACUGACCAAUAGCGCACAAUCCACCAUGUCAUCGGCUGUGGGGAGGCCCAUAAAUUAGUUCCUAGUAAUUUAUUCUGAUCAAUAGAAUGGGCAAAGUCACUUGUCUCUUUAAUCAAAGGCCCUCUCAGAGAUGUCAGCACAGGCAGCUGGGUAGGGGAGAGGCUCUGAGAGCGGGGAGGCGGUGGGUGGUGGCACUGCACCCCACACCCUGGCCUCCAGGAUCCAGCAGAAGCCUCCCAGGCCCUCAGUCCAGGACGCCUGUGCUUCCUUUUGUCACCCAAGCGUGAGCAUUGGCCUUCAAGCAGCACAAGGCAGGAGCGAUCCCGUCGGCUCACAAGAGGUGGCGUCAAGGGCGCUCCACUCCGGCCUCCGCAGUGGCUCAUCCUUCCGAAUGCUCAGGGUCUUCCUUAUUCCCAGGUCACAGGGUCCCCUUGUGCCUGUGCUUCUGUGGAGGGCAGGCUCCGCCUGUGGGAACCUGAAAGGAGUGUGCAUCUGGGGCGUAGGGAAUUUGGAGGCGGCUCCUGAGAGGGGCCCUCCAUAAAGAGCUCCCAGGCCUUGCAUCUGUGGAGGAAGGUCCACAUUGGUGAGGUCCGCAGCACCCCCUGUCUGCCUUAUCUGCUCUAAGGGAGGUGCCACUGACCCCUGGCCCAGCGGUUGCCACAGUGUCACACAUUCUCCUGCGUUUUUACCCAGAGACUUCACCUGACCUGAUGAUAACUUUUGUUUCCUCUCCUCAGCCUCCCUAGCUUGUUCCACCACCCUCCCUCGGGAGACCCAGCAACUUUCUGGCUGUGAGACUCAGACAAAUUGCUUACCUCCCUGACUCAGUUUUCCCCUGUGUAAGGUGGAACUAAUGAUAGUACCUACUUUAUAGGGCAUUAAGGAGAUUCAGUACAUUUGCUGUAUGCUCUGUGAUAAAUUCACACGAAAUUAGAUAAAUAAAUGCUACAUAGCACACUUGGAACAGUACCUGUCACAUCAUGGGGCUGUAUUAGUGUUUGUUAGCAUAAACACUCAGAUCGAGGAAAUGUUGAUGGGAUCUCUGAGGUGGCCUUGAGAUGCUCUGCUUCCUGAAAACUUCAGCUGUUCCCCAACCAUCUUCAUCUUUUAUUCUUCUUGUCCAAAAUACACAGAUGGAGGAAGAGCCCACUGAUGCCAUCUCUUUAAAUGACAGAGAACUGGGGGUGGGGAUUUAGCUUAGUGGUUCCAGC